ACGCUGGCGGCACGCCUAAUACAUGCAAGUCGAACGAAGUAGCAAUACUUAGUGGCAAACGGGUGAGUAAUAUGUGGGUAUCUGCCCUCUGGUAUGGAAUAACACGAGGAAACUUGUGCUAAUACUGUAUAAGCCUUCACAGGGAAAGCUUUAUGCGCCAAAGGAUGAGCCCGCACUUGAUUAGCUAGUUGGUAAGGUAAAAGCUUACCAAGGCAACGAUCAAUAGCUGAUCUGAGAGGAUGAUCAGCCACAUUGGGACUGAGACACGGCCCAAACUCCUACGGGAGGCAGCAGUAGGGAAUCUUGCACAAUGGGGGAAACCCUGAUGCAGCGAUGCCGCGUGAGUGAAGAAGGCCUUUGGGUUGUAAAGCUCUUUCGUCGGGGAAGAAAAUGACUGUACCCGAAUAAGAAGGUCCGGCUAACUUCGUGCCAGCAGCCGCGGUAAUACGAAGGGACCUAGCGUAGUUCGGAAUUACUGGGCUUAAAGAGCUCGUAGGUGGUUAGAAAAGUUAGUGGUGAAAUCCCAAGGCUCAACCUUGGAACUGCCACUAAAACUUUUUAGCUAGAGUGUGAGAGAGGUAAGCGGAAUUUCUAGUGUAGAGGUGAAAUUCGUAGAUAUUAGAAAGAACACCAAUUGCGAAGGCAGCUUUCUGGAUCAUUACUGACACUGAGGAGCGAAAGCAUGGGUAGCGAAGAGGAUUAGAUACCCUCGUAGUCCAUGCUGUAAACGAUGUGUGUUAGACGUUGGAAAUUUAUUUUUCAGUGUCGCAGCAAAAGCGUUAAACACACCGCCUGGGGAGUACG
rnacentral:rRNA from 1 species